rnacentral:tRNA from 1 species
GCCUCUGUGGCCUAAUGGAUAAGACAUCGGUCUCCUAAAUCGGGGAUUGUGGAUUCGAGUCCCACCAGGGGUA